UUAUUGUGAUUUUAAAGAGCAAUAAAAUAUUUUACGAUACCGUUCUCAAUGAGGUAAUCAUUUUCUUUUUGUUCUUGAGGCAUCCAUUUCCAAGUAUGUUUCCAUACCACAUAAAGAGAUAAAUUUUUAAUUUUGAUGUAAAACCCUCCAGAGAAUUUCAAAUAUUCCCUAAGAUGAAUACAAGAUGUCCUGAAAAGUGACUAAUCGCAUUGGGAGCGGCAGAUGAUCCAGAAUGGAUCUUGUCCUUUGACCAUUUUGAACUGAAAACAGGAAUCAGUAACACUUUCUGCCAUAUUGAUGGAUGCUGAUUGGGAGAAAAUCGGCUUAUCUUGACAAAAGCCCAAACAUAAACGUAAAGGACGAUGGAUGAGCUCGCCGAGGAGUUCUGCGAGCUCUGCCCAUGUUUCUUAGAAGACGUUGGUUUGUUAUGUGGCGGUGACCUCUUAACGACAUUUAGUGUUCCAAUAUACACGGGUCUAUUGAUCAGCUAUUGCCUAUACAUCCAUCAAUCUACCUACCUAUUUAUGGACUGAGUGGCUGACAGACCUAUAGUGUACAGUACAUAAAAAAGUCUUUACACCCCUGUUCAAGUAUCAGGUUUUGUGGUAUAAAAAAAUAGACCAAGAUUAAAAAAUAUUUCAAAAUGUUUUCCACCAUUAUUGUGACCUAUAACCUGUACAGGUCAAUUGAAAGAAAGUCUUUAAAAGAGGGGAACUCUCUAAAGGGAUAAGCGGUGUUGAAAAUGGAUGGAUGUUGUAGAAGCCUUUUCCUAAAAUACAUAUUUUUUUCAAUUGAGUUUUUACAGGCGGCAUGGUGGUCGACUGGUUAGAGCGUCAGCCUCACAGUUCUGAGGACCGGGGUUCAAUCCCCGGCCCCGCCUGUGUGGAGUUUGCAUGUUCUCCCCGUGCCUGCGUGGGUUUUCUCCGGGCACUUCGGUUUCCUCCCACAUCCCAAAAACAUGGAUUAAUUGGAGACUCUAAAUUGCCCGUAGGUGUGACUGUGAGUGUGAAUGGUUGUUUGUUUGUAUGUGCCCUGCGAUUGGCUGGCAACCAGUUCAGGGUGUACCCCGCCUCCUGCCUGAUGAUAGCUGGGAUAGGCUCCAGCACGUCCGUGACCCAAGUGAGGAGAAGUGGCUCAGAAAAUGCAUGGAUGGAUGGAGUUUUUACAGGUCAUAGGUCACAUUAAUUGUGGAAAAUUGCAAACUGUAGGCCGGUCCCAAGCCCGGAUAAAUGCAGAGGGUUGCGUCAGGAAGGGCAUCCGGCUUAAAACUUUGCCAAACAAAUAUGAGUGUUCAUCCAAAGAAUUCCAUAGCGGAUCGGUCGUGGCCUGGGUUAACAAUGUCCGCCAACGGCGCCGUCAACCUGCAGGGCGCCGGUGGAAGGUAAGCUACUGUGGGUCGAAGUCGAAGAAGAGGUGGGAAAGCGGGUUUUUCGGCAUAGAGAGAAGAGGAAAGCAUAGAACCUAGAACUGAAUGUGGGGACUUUGAAUGUUGGGACUAUGACAGGAAAAUCUCAGGAAUUGGUUGACAUGAUGAUUAGGAGCAAUAGAGUGACCUACAAGAGCGGAGGUUGAAGCAUGCAGGUGGACUACAUGCAGAUGAUGUAAUCUGAAGGAGGUUACCGACUGUAAGGUAGUGGUAGGGGAGAGUGUGGCUAGACAGCAUAGGAUGGUGGUGUGUAAGGUGACUCUGGUGAUGGGGUGGAAGAUUAGGAAGACAAAGGCAGUGCAUACAACCAUGUGGUGGAAGCUGAGACAGGACGAGUGUUGUGCAGCUUUUCGGGAAGAGGUGAGACAGGCUCUCGGUGGACAGGAGGAGCUUCCAGAAGAAUGGACCACUGCAGCCAAGGUGAUCAGAGAGGCGGGCAGGAGAGUACUUGGUGUAUCUUCUGGCAGGAAAGGAGAGAAGGAGACUUGGUGGUGGAACCUCACAGUACAGGAAAUCAUACAAGGAAAAAGGUUAGCUAAGAAGAAGUAGGAAUACAUUGAGAUGCGACAUAGGGCAAAGGUAGAGGUGGCAAAGGCCAAACAAGAGGCAUAUGAUGACAUGUAUGGCAGGUUGGACACUAAAGAAGGAGAAAAGGAUCGAUACAGGUAGGCCAGACAGAGGAAUAGAGAUGGGAAGGAUGUGCAGCAGGUUAGGGUGAUUAACGAUAGAGAUGGAAAUAUGUUGACUGGUGCCAGUAGUGUGUUAGAUAGAUGGAAAGAAUACUUCGAGGAGUUGAUGAAUGAGGAAAAUGAGAGAGAAGGGAGAGUAGAAGAGGCAAGUGUAGUGGCCCAGGAAGUGGCAAUGAUUAGUAAGGGGGUAGUUAGAAAGGCAUUAAAGAGGAUGGAUAUAGGUCAUAUACUGCCGUGCAGUUCCAGUAUUGGAGUCGGGAGGGCGCUUGUGUCCUCUCUCUGCCCCCUCCCCUCUGUUUACAGCACCGGUCUUCAAUCAGCCUCAUCACCACCGGUGUAUAUAAGCUGCCUGUUCCCGGAAAUCCUCGCCACGGCCCACCUUUUUUCAAUGCUCCUUCCCUGUUCCCUGCCUUGCUGACCUCUUCCAGCAUGCCACCAAGGCCUCCACCUGCUCACGCCACCGCCUGCCGCACGCUCACUGUCUCGACAAGCCGCCAGUAACCCUCAAGGAUCCACCUCCGAAUCUCUUCUCAAUGAACUUCUUCAGCCUCCGCCUGCUUCUGGGUCUAUCGUAUCGUGACAGAAUACUCUGGCCAGCAUGGACCCAGCAACCCCAGAGGCGUUAAGUAAGAGAAGCACUCAGCCUCCAAGGCGACCGCAUAGGAAGACAGGACAAAGUUCUCUGCGAGAUCAUGGACUCAUUGAACACUCUCACUCGACAAGUAUCCCUCCUUUCGUCCCAAAUUCAGCGCGACCUUCCUCCCGACAGCUGUUUGAAAUUUCCUCUUGGGGGCUUUCACUGUUGGACCUGGGCCAGGCCUCGCCUUCACUCUGAGCCCUCACCGCUUGGCACCGAGCAGCUUUGGUGCCAACAUUUGACACGUGCGGACCCUCGUACAGGCCAAAAGCAACACUGUGUUUGUGUGUGUUGCUGUCUUUCUUUGUGUGGCACAUCCUCACUUUACUGUAUGGACCGUCUGAUACACAAUACAAAUGCAAUGCAAAUUAAAUGUUGAGUUUUAAAAAAACUAAUUUUACAGAUGUAUUGAACCUAGUGAAAAUUGACAUUUGGUAGAGAUUGCAGGCGUAACCCACAAAGAUUUGCUCUGUAGCACCACUUAGAAUCUUUUAAAGAUUCAUCCCUCAGAGCCAGUUUCACUGAGCAACAUGAAUUUGAGUCGACAUUGUAUAUUAUGAGUAGACCUACAAAAGAAAAUCUCAACAAGCCAUGCUGGAAAAGACAGGAAAUCUGUCACUUCGGCCAUUUCCAAGGUUCCUUCAAUUCCUUUCAGAGAUUUCUCCCAAUUGUUACCAAAUGUAAACCUUAUAUACUAGAUAAAUGGGCAACGAUAAAUUGUAAAUAAUUUGAAUUUACAGCAUUGCGUGUGGGAGAAAAAUAGUGCUGGUCCUGAAGCUUCGUCAAUGUGUGAUUAAAGCUUUUGUGGGUUUUUUAGCUUUUUCUCAAACAUUUCUACUCUUACUCUUACGCAGAUGUUUCGCAUUAGCAUCGGCAUGCUUCAGUAUCUCUCCAUAAUGCCUGCUGGAUGCAUGUUAAUCCUCCCGUAACACUCCACUUAUCGUAUGGCCCAAUGAGGCACUACCACCAUGUCUCCUUACCGUACAUAAAAUACAAGUUUGAGCUGUCUGAAGAUGUGAACUCCCUCUAUCAUAUUUCAAAAGGCUAUAAUAAUCAUGCCCUCUAUAUAAAGACUGUAAAAAAAAGUGUAACAUUCUCCCAGCAGCAGUAACUUCGGCGAACAUUCACCUUGUUCACGUCGCCAAGCUUGCUACGAUGCUAAUCAAGAGCAACCCACAAGUCCUAAAUCACCCUCAAAAAAGCUACUUGGGGCCUGACAACAUGUUCAAUUUUCCACCCGCCUCGCCUCAUUUUUAUUUCGAGAGUGAUGCCCGGAAUCAAGGUGCGGCGCUUUCAAUCAUAGUCCCGACAAAAGGCGACAGGAGAAUGAGGAGGAGAAGGGUUCGAGGUGUGAGAAGCUUCAGGCGUCUCUUGUGUCUAAUCAACUCUGAUGGAUGCAAAAUGGAUGGAUCGCCCGUGAGCGAGGUGAUUGCUGCUCACACUGAAACUCAACUCGUUGGGCUUUCACAGCCCUCAUAUAGACGCAUCUGAUCAAUGGAUCAAAUCAAAUUAAUUGCCAAGCAGUCUGCAAUGAGUCUGCAAUAAAAUACUUUGAGAAAGGAUGGACCUAUUUAUCAUCUUACACAGCUGAUGUCUCAUAAUGACAAGAUAAUGUUCGUACAAACAAUGUGAUUUUUGUGGCCUAAUUAGAAUGUGGUAAAAACAGAAAGUAUACAUUAAAGCAACAAAACAGUGAUGACCUUUUCCAUCACGAAUCCUCCAAAUGCCCAUAAAAUUUUAAUGCUACGCUCAGCCCCCAUUAGAUGGCGUUAUCAAAAUAGAUUAGAAAUUUAGCAUCGCCCAUCUGUCAAGGAUACAUGCUUCUUCUUGGGGCUCCUUUGGGUGAAUUCCUGGAAUUUAGCCAAAAUUGCUGCUUCUCACUAACAUGGACGACUCCCUGUUCAAUUUCUAACGUGGGUCCUUGAGACUUUUCAUGCAUCCUGUUAUGACAGACAUGCCCCCCAAUUUCAUGUGGAUUGGUGAAGCUGGUCUCAGGGAUUAUUAAAAAAAAAAAAAAAACUUUACAAGGGGUGGGACUGAGUGUGAAAAGGUGGCUUCAAACUAAAAUGGCCAACUUUCUGCUGAAUUCCUGGCAUGGGCCUUUCAGACUUUUACAUGCGUCCAAUUAUGAUAGACAUGUCCACCCAUUUUCAAGUUGAAUGGAGAAAACGUUGUCAGGGGAUGAUUUUUCAACAGGAGCCACUGAUUGCAAAAUGACUGCUUCAAACUGCUGACUUCCUGUUCAAUUCCAGGUGUGGGUCCGUGAGACUUUUUCGUGUGUGAUAUUAUGAUAGACAUGUCUGCCAAAUAUCAUGUUGAUUGAAAAACUUACUGUGAGUUGCUGAGCCUAUUAUUUUUUAUUUUUUGUAACGUUCCAGGCAGCAUAUCUAAGUAAUCAAAAAGAUGUAUUGCAGCCUGCAAAUGGCCCUGGCAAAAAGGAUUCUUCUAAUGUAAUUUUCAUGAAUUGCGUUGUGUAAAAACCUACGUUUAACAUUUUCUGGGAUCAGACAUUUUUUAAAGAUCAUUUUUGUUUGAGGAUACCUAACCCAGUUUCCAUGACACAAGAGGGGCUCUAGCAUAAUUUUUAGGUGUAAAUGCUGACUUUUUGUACAAUGUCCAUCAA